GACGAGGGGUCCAAGCGUUGUCCGGAAUUAUUGGGCGUAAAGAGGGUGUAGGCGGCUUUGUAAGUCAGAAGUGAAAGUCUCAGGCUCAACCUGAGAAGUGCUUUUGAUACUGCAGAACUUGAGUUUGGAAGAGGGCAAUGGAAUUCCUGGUGUAGUGGUGAAAUGCGUAGAUAUCAGGAGGAAUACCAGAUGCGAAGGCGGUUGCCUGGUCCAAUACUGACGCUGAGAUCCGAAAGCGUGGGGAGCAAACAGG
rnacentral:rRNA from 1 species